rnacentral:rRNA from 2 species
GGUAUUGAUUGGUGCUUGCAUCAUGAUUUACAUUUGAGUGAGUGGCGAACUGGUGAGUAACACGUGGGAAACCUGCCCAGAAGCGGGGGAUAACACCUGGAAACAGAUGCUAAUACCGCAUAACAACUUGGACCGCAUGGUCCGAGUUUGAAAGAUGGCUUCGGCUAUCACUUUUGGAUGGUCCCGCGGCGUAUUAGCUAGAUGGUGGGGUAACGGCUCACCAUGGCAAUGAUACGUAGCCGACCUGAGAGGGUAAUCGGCCACAUUGGGACUGAGACACGGCCCAAACUCCUACGGGAGGCAGCAGUAGGGAAUCUUCCACAAUGGACGAAAGUCUGAUGGAGCAACGCCGCGUGAGUGAAGAAGGGUUUCGGCUCGUAAAACUCUGUUGUUAAAGAAGAACAUAUCUGAGAGUAACUGUUCAGGUAUUGACGGUAUUUAACCAGAAAGCCACGGCUAACUACGUGCCAGCAGCCGCGGUAAUACGUAGGUGGCAAGCGUUGUCCGGAUUUAUUGGGCGUAAAGCGAGCGCAGGCGGUUUUUUAAGUCUGAUGUGAAAGCCUUCGGCUCAACCGAAGAAGUGCAUCGGAAACUGGGAAACUUGAGUGCAGAAGAGGACAGUGGAACUCCAUGUGUAGCGGUGAAAUGCGUAGAUAUAUGGAAGAACACCAGUGGCGAAGGCGGCUGUCUGGUCUGUAACUGACGCUGAGGCUCGAAAGUAUGGGUAGCAAACAGGAUUAGAUACCCUGGUAGUCCAUACCGUAAACGAUGAAUGCUAAGUGUUGGAGGGUUUCCGCCCUUCAGUGCUGCAGCUAACGCAU